CCCUGAAUAGCUCUGUCAGUAGAGCAUGUGACACUUAAUCUCAGGGUUGUGGGUUCAAGACCCAUGUUUGGUGA